rnacentral:rRNA from 1 species
UACAGAGGGUGCAAGCGUUGCUCGGAAUCAUUGGGCGUAAAGGGUAGGUAGGUGGUCUCAUUUGUCUGGGGUGAAAGCCUUGAGCUUAACUCGAGAAGUGCCCCGGAAACGGUGAGACUGGAGUCUUGGAGAGGGUCGUGGAAUUCCCGGUGUAGCGGUGAAAUGCGUAGAGAUCGGGAGGAACACCAGCGGCGAAGGCGGCGACCUGGACAAGUACUGACACUCAACUACGAAAGCGUGGGGAGCAAACAGG